UACGUAGGGUGCGAGCGUUAAUCGGAAUACUGGGCGUAAAGCGUGCGCAGGCGGUUGGUUAAGUCUGAUGUGAAAGCCCCGGGCUCAACUUGGGAAUGGCAUUGGAAACUGGCUGGCUAGAGUGUGGCAGAGGGGGGUGGAAUUCCGCGUGUAGCAGUGAAAUGCCGUAGAGAUGCGGAGGAACACCGAUGGCGAAGGCAGCCCCCUGGGCUGACACUGACGCCUCAGGCACGAAAGCGUGGGGAGCAACAGG
rnacentral:rRNA from 1 species